GACGAACGCUGGCGGCGCGCUUAACACAUGCAAGUCGAACGGAAAGGCCUGCUUUCCCUUGUGGAUUGCGGGUACUCGAGUGGCGAACGGGUGAGUAACACGUAAGUGAUCUGCCCCCAACUUGGGUAUAAGCCUGGGAAACUGGGUCUAAUUCCCGAUAGGACUGCAGGGUGGUGCCUGUGGUGGAAAACGAUUUUCUAGUGGUUGGGGAUGAGCUCGCGGCCUAUCAGCUUGUUGGUGGGGUAAUGGCCUACCAAGGCGGCGACGGGUAGCCGGCCUGAGAGGGUGGACGGCCACAUUGGGAAUGAGAUACGGCCCAGACUCCUACGGGAGGCAGCAGUGGGGAAUAUUGCACAAUGGGCGGAAGCCUGAUGCAGCGACGCCGCGUGGGGGAUGACGGCCUUCGGGUUGUAAACUCCUUUCGACCGCGAGGAAGCCACCUGGUUGGAAGGGUGGUGACGGUAGUGGUAGAAGAAGCACCGGCUAACUACGUG
rnacentral:rRNA from 1 species